rnacentral:rRNA from 1 species
AUUUUGGACAAUGGGCGGAAGCCUGAUCCAGCCAUGCCGCGUGAGUGAAGAAGGCCUUCGGGAUGUAAAGCUCUUUCGGACGGAAAGAAAUUGCGCAGGCUAAUACCCUGCGCGGAGGACGGUUCCGACAGAAGAAGCACCGGCCAACCCCGUUCCCGCAGCCGCGGUAAUACGUAGGGUGCGAGCGUUAAUCAGAAUUACUGGGCGUAAAGCGUGCGCAGGCGGUUGGUUAAGAAAGGCGUGGAAUCCCCGGGCUGAACCAGGGGACUGCGCUUGUGACUGGUCAGCUAGAGUACGGCAGAGGGGGGUGGAAUUCCACGUGUAGCAGUGAAAUGCGUAGAGAUGUGGAGGAACACCGAUGGCGAAGGCAGCCACCUGGGCCGAUACUGACGCUCAUGCACGAAAGCGUGGGUAGCAAACAAG